GCCUUAUUGUUAGUGCUGAUGGUGGUUGUUGGUGGUGGCAAUCCAACUUGAAGUUUGUGUCCGAAGUCUUUCGUUAUUUGAAUUUGAAUUCAGUUGCUGCGCGCUUGUAAACGAGAAUGGUUGUGCACGGCACAGCGUAACUUAAAACAGACAACGAACAACAACCAAAAACCGUCCGUCGCCCAGUGAAAACAACAAAACACCCCAAGUGAUAUCACAACGAAAAAAAGAAAACAAAAACAACGAAAAUUAAAACUAAAAAACAAAACGGACAGACAGACAGACAAACCGAUUGUCAGAAAGUCCACAAAAAAAAAAAAAUCAUACUCUUUUUUAUGGUACCUUUCCCGGCACCCUUUGCUUUAACUUUAUAGAGGGGGAGAUUGUGGUGAAUUGGUUCGCAUAUGCAAGAAAUAUUAAAUGAAAGUCAAAUGUGAAUGUGAAUGUGUGUGCAAGUUUCGAGUUCGCGUGUAUAUCUCGAAGCCUAAGUCAACUCUAUCAUUGUGUUGGGUUAGCCCACAAGAAUAUCUUUGUUGAGCCGUAAAAAAAAAAUACUCAGUAGCAGCGACGCAUACGUUUGUACAACAGCGGCAUCUCUAAACAGCACUCUACCGUCGUCAUCAUCAUCGAAAACAAAAACAACAAAACCAACACAACCACAAGAAACAAUAGAAAAGAAAAACGUUAGUUUUUCUCAGACUCUGUUUAAAAGUUUGCAGUUGUGAAAUAUCCAAAACUUGAACUGGAACUAUUUUGCCGCAGUCAUCGCAGUCGUCAUCGUGUAAAAAAAAUCCUCCUGCCAUUGUAUUGGAGUCUGAGAGACAGCAUUGUAAACAUUGCCGCCUCUUCUCACCGCUCACUGUUUGAGUGGAUACUUUUAAUCAGAUAACUUGGAACUGUAAGUAGGCAAUUGCAUGAAAGCUGUACUAAAUGCCUCCACAAACUAACCUUAACAACAUACAACCAACAUUUCUAACACUACAACAAAGAAAUUAGGGUAAGUUAUCACAACUCUCAUGAAAUUCACUCGAAUAUGAACCAAUUGUCGC
rnacentral:sRNA from 1 species